GACGAACGCUGGCGGCGUGCUUAACACAUGCAAGUCGAGCGGUAAGGCCCUUUCGGGGGUACGACGAGCGGCGAACGGGUGAGUAACACGUGGGUGGACCUGCCCUCAGCUCUGGGAGUAAGCCGUGGGAAACCGGGUCUAAUAACUGGAUAUGACUCCAUGACGCAUGUUGGUGGGGUGGAAAGCCUUGCGCGGCUGAGGA
rnacentral:rRNA from 1 species